AGUAAAGUAUUUUUAAUCUUAAGUUGAAAAUCAUUUUACAUUUGGAGCAGUCAACACUCUGACCCCAUAUAUUCACAGACAAAUGUUUAGUAAAAUACUUAAUUAAACAUUCUGAUUUUUUGUCUAAAAUAGCCUGUGAAAAAUAAUGGGGCAAGUACUACCACCCCCACCCCAUAAUAUACACUAAUGUCACAUUUCAUAAGUAACUGAAAUAAAUGAAUUUUGCAAAAUCAAGCUUGACCAACAAAAAGGUAGAAAAGUGCACUCGAGGCAGUCAAACGUUGGUAAAUUCCUUUAUGAGCCAAUCAAAAUUGAGAUCUUUCAUGAAAUGAGUUUGUGAUGUAUUCAUAAACUAAUCAGUGGUAAAAAUCAGUUAUAUUAACAACUUUUAAUAUAUAGAAAAGCCAGUGCAUUUUGGUAACAAAACGUUCCAACAAUGGCUUUUAUGUUAUGUUGUUUAGCAACAGAAGUGUAGUCUAAUGUUGUUGUUAGUCUAUUUACUGAAAGUAUAAAAUGUAAUGUAUAUUCAAUAAAACUGGAAAUAUUUUUGUUGAUUUCUUAAUUUAGAGUCUGUUGAUGAAAAUAUUGGUGAUAUAACAGAAAAUAACUUAAUUCAGAAAUGAUUUAACUUUAAAAUUGAAUCAAUAUUGUUAAUUUUAUGGUCAAUUUUAUGCACUUAGCUCUAGGCUAGGUGAUCCCACACUAUGUCUUUACUGUAGGCUUAUUAUACCAACACUUGUAUAGUUUCAUGGCACUCCCUCAUGGUUUCCUUGCACCCCUGUUACUAAACUCUUAAUGGGCAGACUGCAGUUGAACUAUUCUAUCUGGAUAAAUGCAUUUUGGCUUUUAGGACUCCUCCUAUUUUGAGAAAUCAAGUGUGACAUGACAUGCACUGGCUUUUAUAUAGGUUAGAUUGAACUGAAUUAGGCUUCUCUCCUGUUUGAGUUGCAGCUAUACAGAGCCUGUUCCUUUGUCUUUUGCGAUGAUCAAUGACAAAUCAGUUCACUUUUUUGCAUAUUAUGCAAAUGGGUAGUAACACUCUGGAAUUGGAUGAUACAUGCAAAUCUGACUGUGAUCUGAAUUUCUUUGGAGAAGGUGAAUUCAACAAAGGUUCACCCACCAUUAUUUUAUCAGCUACACAAUUUCCACAUCUUUAUAUAGCAAAUUCAAUACGUUUUUGUUGAUAAAAUUUAUGUAACAAGGUGGGUGAAAACUAAUUCCUGAUAGUGUUGAGACAUCCCCUUUUUUGUCAUAUAUUAUGUUGAGAAUGGUAAGACUGGAGGACACAAAUUCUGAGACAAUACCUCACCAUCACCCACAGAAUAGCUUGAUUCCUAUAUGCAACUACCUACAAGAUUUGCAUGCCAUUAGCCUUUAUCUCCCUCCCAUCUAAAAAUAUGGUUAACGUGAACUGUGCUAGUGCAUGAUAUCAUCUUGUAACAAUAGCCCUCCACCAAUUAGAGGGCAACACAACCUCUUUGUACAGUAGCUCCCCCUAAGCAAUUGCAUUCAUAUUAACUUCAUUAUUUUCCUUGGCAUUGUGUAGAAUGGACAUGUUUCAAAAUUUGUAAUUAAUUACUUGAGAUUUGUAAUAGUUUAUGACUGAGUUAAAUUUUGUUCAAGUUUACCUGGUGUAGUGUCCAUGUUUCACAUAACCAGUGUAGUUUUUUAAUUUCAUUUAGAAAAAAACUUCCACUUUGUCUCCUGAUAUUGACAAUACAGAAUGUAUCUACUGUGGCUAGUGGGGGCUUGUUGUCUUCGGAGGAUGUGAUAGCCAUUCUUCAGUGUAUUGUGGGUUCCUUCAUACAUUCUGGGCUUCCUCUUCUCAUCCAUUUGGCCAAUGUUCCUUCUCUCCUGUUUGAGCAUGACCAAGAUGAUAAUGAUUUUGAUCAACUAUUUUUCCUACCAGGGUUUACUCAAUGCACAGCUUUAUCUGUGAGGGAAAAUCCUCUCUCUUGAUAUCAUUCUGUGGGUAUGUUCUUUUCUUUCUCUUUCCCCUAUGUUAAUGAAUCCCACCCCCUACCACUUUACUACUUGAAACCCGUACACUUUGUCAUCCCUCCUUCCUCUGACAUUAGGGUCCAUGUAGACUCGUUUCUUGAUUUCAUUCUGCGGGCAUGUUCUUUUCUUUCUCUUUCCCCUAUGUUAAUGAAUCUCCCCCCUCCACCACUUUACUACUUGAAACCCGUACACUUUGUCUUCCCUCUGACAUUAGGGUCCAUGUAGACUCGUUUCUUGAUUUCAUUGAUCCUACACACCGACAUACAUUUUGUUGAAAUUGCCAAUCUUAUAUUGUUGAAGGAAAGAAAAAUAAAAAAAAUGUUACUUUGUGAAAGAGAAACAUAUUAGGUAUUCGGUAUAGUAUGGUUUUGAAACAUACCGAUACAUGAAAGAGAAACAAUUUAGGUAUUCGAUAUAGUAUGGUUUUGAAACACACCGAUACAUGAAAGAGAAACAAUUUAGGUAUUCGGUAUAGUAUGGUUUUGAAACAUACCGUACAUGAAAGAGAAACAAUUUAGGUAUUCGGUAUAGUAUGGUUUUGAAAUACACCGUACAUGAAAGUGAAACAAUUUAGGUAUUCGAUAUUCUAUGGUUUUGGAACACGCUGUACAUGAAAGAGAAACAAUUUAGGUAUUCGGUAUAGUAUGGUUUUGAAACAUACCGAUACAUGAAAGAGAAACAAUUUAGGUAUUCGGUAUAGUAUGGUUUUGAAACAUACUGUACAUGAAAGAGAAACAAUUUAGGUAUUUGGUAUAGUAUGGUUUUGAAACAUACCGUACAUUAAAGAGAAACAAUUUAGGUAUUUGGUAUAGUAUGGUUUUGAAACAUACCUUACAUGAAAGGGAAGCAAUUUAGGUAUUCAAUAUUCUAUGGUUUUGAAACACGCUGUACAUGAAAGAGAAACAAUUAAGGUAUUCGGUAUAGUAUGGUUUUGAAACACACCAUACAUGAAAGAGAAACAAUUUAGGUAUUUGGUAUAGUAUGGUUUUGAAACAUACCAUACAUGAAAGUGAAACAAUUUAGGUAUUCGAUAUUCUAUGGUUUUGAAACACGCUGUACAUGAAAGAGAAACAAUUUAGGUAUUCAGUAUAGUAUGGUUUUGAAACACACCAUACAUGAAAGAGAAACAAUUUAGGUAUUCGGUAUAGUAUGGUUUUGAAACAUACCGAUACAUGAAAGAGAAACAAUUUAGGUAUUUGGUAUAGUAUGGUUUUGAAACACACUGUACAUGAAAGAGAAACAGUUUAGGUAUUUGGUAAACUAUGGUUUUGAAACAUACUGUACAUGAAAGAGAAACAAUUUAGGUAUUUGGUAUAGUAUGGUUUUGAAACACACUGUACAUGAAAGAGAAACAGUUUAGGUAUUUGGUAAACUAUGGUUUUGAAACAUACUGUACAUGAAAGAGAAACAAUUUAGUUAUUCGGUAUAGGAUAGUUUUGAAACACACCAUACAUGAAAGAGAUACAAUUUAGGUAUUUGGUAUACUGUGGUUUUUGGAACAAUGUAAAUGUUCAAACUUCUGAGAAAACCUGUUUCUCAGUGCAUCUCUGGUAAGGAUAAGUAGUUUUUAAGGUAUAAUUAUUUUAAAAAAUAAUUACCCUAUAUAUAUAUAUAAAGCUUUUUUGUGACAACAAAGAAUUUCAUUGAGGUACCACACUUUAAGAGUUUAAAAUACGUGAGCCACACUGGUUGGAUAUCAAGAUAACAUCUGUGUGCUAAAUUCAUUUGAACUACAUUUUGUUAUUUUAUAAUGGAUACAUUUGAAACUAAUCACAUAAAAUGUAAUAUCAAAAGUUGUUACAAAGAAGGGACCAUAUAUUUCUUCUUUUGAGGGUGUUCAUCAGUGUAAAAUUGGCCAUUUAUUGUAAACUUAUAAAGGCUGAUUUACAGCUUUAUUAACUUUAUAAAAAGUGGCUAGUUUAAGUGAUCAUUAAACAUGUAACUAGAAUUAUUAGAUAUGAGGCAUAUAAGUUAUUUAAUACAAAGCUUAAAUGCCCCCGAGAUAUUUGAAUAACAAAGCAACGAAAGCUUUUUUUUGUAUGACCACUGUGUUGGUAUAUUUAGGUAAUAAAGAUUUGUGCACGUA
rnacentral:lncRNA from 1 species